rnacentral:tRNA from 1 species
GCGGGCGUAGUAUAUUGGUAGUACGCGAUCCUUCCAAGAUCGAGGGGGGAGUUCGAUUCUCCUCGCCCGCU